CAUAAAAUACAAUGCAAUUAUAAAAUAGAAAAGAUCUAAUAUAAAAUACAUAUGAAUAUACAGACACAAUAAAACCAAGUGAAACCUCUCGGAUUGUGCCAAAAGCCAAAGAAAAAAAGAUGGGUCUUAAGAAGGGAGUUAAAAGCAGCGAGUGAAGAGGCCUGUCUUAUGCCCAAAGGAAGAUCAUUCCAUAGCUUGGGAGCUGCCGCAGAAAAAGCACGGUCCCCUCUGAGCUUGCACUUUGUCUUUGGUGCCUUCAGAAGCAGCUGAUCAGCUGACCUGAGGGAACAGGAGGCUGUGUAACAGCUCAGACAGAUAGGGAGGGGCAAGGCCAUUAAGAGCUUUAAAAACAAAUAAAAGGAUUUUAGAAUUAAUCCUAAAAUGUACUGGCAACCAGUGUAAGGAAGCUAAAAUAGGGGAAAUAUGGUCAAAUUUUCGUGUACCUGUUAAAAGACGUGCCAACUUCUUUUAACAGCCUUUUGCACCCUCUGAAGCUGGAAAAUAUAUAAAUCAUUGACUCCUGUAUAAAGUGCAUUACAGUUAUCCAGCCGUGUGGUCCCAAAUGCAUGGAUCACUGUUUCGAAGUGCUGCCUGGCUGAUGGCGUAGAGUUGAGUUGUGAUCGUAGAGUUGUAGAGUUUACCACCCACAAGACAACUUGUGGGUGGGGAAGAUGGCGCCGGUGUUUGAGGCUUGCCGUCUGACGCUCCUGUUUUGCUUUUGUCUGCUGUCCGCUUUUAAGUUUAUUACAAGUGUAAACUCGCUCUCUGAUUGUGUAUAACAAUGACCUCUAUUUUGUGAAGUGCACCCGUUGCUCUUGCAGCAGACAAUCCAUUUAAGAUGAUCCUACCACUCCUGAACAUUUGGGAUGGGGCCAAGUUAUUAUUACUCUCUUCUGCCCAAACUUGAAAAAGGCUUAACCUGUGAAAACUUUGUCUUUCCUUCUGUGACUUUAGGCAAAUUCAGGUUGAUGACUGUGGAUGAACAUUUUGAUUCGAUUUGAUCUAUGUUAGAGUGUAGUUAACUUCUGAAUCUAAAUAAAAAAACCAAAAACAUGUAAUCCAUCGUUCUGGCAUUUAUCAAAUAAAAUGACUUGUAAGCUCAACUGACCUAAAACAACGAACGUUUAAGAUGAUUUACUGUUUUACAGGACAAUUAAAAAUGUUUUUUAAAGGGUAUGUACAAUCUGGUUACAAUAGCAUUCAACCUGCUUUCCAGAAAACGUUUUUUUAUUACAUUAUUUAUACGCUAAAUAUCUGAUUGUAAUCGCAUUCAACCUGCUUUGCUUUCUAGGAAACCUUAUUUCUUUUCUUCUCUUUUUACACAGUGUACUACAACAGCGUUCAACCUGAUUUCCAGGAAACCUUUUUUUUUUUUAAGUACUUGCAGUUUUGAUUCUAGAUUAGCGAGGGGCGCUGAUGAGCUUGUUGUUGAUUAGAACAGCCCCAGAAGAAACGUUCUAAAGCAGAGAAGAAGAAGAAAGAUGCCGAUGGUCCACGUCGGUUAAGGAGGAGAGUGAAGCCGGUGGCCUGAUGCCAGCCAUCAGCCAGGCUACAGCAGAUGCUACAACAGAUGCUACACCACGCUGACCCGCUGCUGGCAGAGAGUCCUGCAGCAUGUGAUUGAGCUGUACUACACCCGGCGGCUGCUGUAACUGACCCGACCUUCUCGCAGGACGGUAUGUUUUACUCUCACCGUUAAUGGUCACACACGUUACAUAAUUACUGCGAUCAGUGGAAAGGAAAGGUGACCCGUGGCACGGCUGAAUUCUGCUCCAGCUGGGCUCUGUGCUGGACACAGUCAGACACCGUGCAACAGCCUCGUCUCAUUUCUGCCAAAAACAAAAUCACCUGGGCAACUGCUUUCCUCAGCUUUGUCUGGCUACACAGGAAUGAGUACAGUGAUGUACUUGACAUUCAUGAUAGGUUUCUAGAAAUUAAUUUUCCUGCCGUAUUUUCCAGCAGGGCGCCCAGUUUCCAAACGGGAAGAGACUCGACACUUUCAUCUGUGGUAACUACACUUCACUGAAAUGCCUUUUCCCUCUUUUUCUUUAGGCAAUCACAAAGUAAUUGUCUGUGGCAUUAUUAUUAUUAUUAUUAUUACAACAUUUAAAAACUACAUGUUACAUCUAGUUUCAUGUAACACAAUAACUUUUCAGACCUUUAGACAGCCAGAUCGCACAUGAAGCUAAAAACAGACACAGCAGGGCCACCCCUGAACAGGAAUGAGGAAGACCUUGUGCCAGAAACAAGCCCUCUGUGACCUGUGGUGUUUUCUGUGACCCCUUGCCCCCACUCCUUCAUAAUAAAGCUGUCACUGUGCUGAAACCAA